rnacentral:rRNA from 1 species
CCCUUAGAUGUUCUGGGCCGCACGCGCGCUACACUGACGAAUGCAACGAGCUUAUAACCUUGGCCGAAAGGUCUGGGUAAUCUCCAAAUUUCGUCGUGAUGGGGAUAGAUUAUUGCAAUUAUUAAUCUUCAACGAGGAAUGCCUAGUAAGCGCAAGUCAUCAGCUUGCGUUGAUUACGUCCCUGCCCUUUGUACACACCGCCCGUCGCUCCUACCGAUUGAAUGGUCCGGUGAAGCGUUCGGACCGUGGCCUUUGGACGGUUCGCCGUCUGUUGGCUGCAGGAAGUUCGUUAAACCUUAUCAUUUAGAGGAAGGAGAANUCGUANCA